rnacentral:rRNA from 1 species
GACGUAGGGCGCGAGCGUUGUCCGGAUUUAUUGGGCGUAAAGAGCUCGUAGGCGGCUUGUCGCGUCGAUCGUGAAAACUCACAGCUCAACUGUGAGCUUGCGGUCGAUACGGGCGGGCUCGAGUUCGGUAGGGGAGACUGGAAUUCCUGGUGUAGCGGUGAAAUGCGCAGAUAUCAGGAGGAACACCGGUGGCGAAGGCGGGUCUCUGGGCCGAUACUGACGCUGAGGAGCGAAAGCGUGGGGAGCGAACAGG